AUCUUAUCCUGGAGGGAAAACACACCACACUGACUUGAUUCGGUUUGCUCAAGCGUGAGAGAAACAAGAGGUUUCCCCACACGAGUUUUUGAGGUCCGCCCUCUCACCCUGACGGAAUCCAUCCAUCCUCUCACCGCACUGAAGGAGGCGCUGUGAGUUACGUCAUACAUGGCAAGGAUGCCGUCUGCCUUUCGAGACUUGGUGACGUUUGGAUUCUAGAAGAUUACGUGGACAACAUGAGUAUUUUCUCUGGAUGCUUUUCACAUUUAAAAAGACAGAAAUGGAGUCAAAAAUACUUUAUACUUUAUUCUGCAGCA